rnacentral:rRNA from 1 species
CGUGUAGGCGGUUUGGUAAGUUGGAUGUGAAAGCUCCAGGCUCAACCUGGAGAGGUCAUUCAAAACUGCCAGACUAGAGGACGGUAGAGGGAGGUGGAAUUCCGGGAGUAGCGGUGAAAUGCGUAGAUACCCGGAGGAACACCAGUGGCGAAGGCGGCCUCCUGGGCCGUUCCUGACGCUCAGACGCGAAAGCUAGGGGAGCAAACAGGAUUAGAUACCCUGGUAUCC